CUGGGUUUCAGCCUUGGGGUAUCUUUUGGAAGCUUGGGAAAGCAAGAGUUGGGCUUUCACCCCCUAAGGAGGGGACCCUCUCUGCCCUCUCCUUGCUCCAUGCCAAGGCUGCCUGAGCUCCCA
ensembl:miRNA